GCUGUUUAUUUAAAGAGAAUUAAAACACUGGAAAGCUUUUUAAUGUUUUUAAUGCAUUAGAAAUAGUCAGACCUUGGUAAAUGCAGUAUUUCUAGUGAGUUUUUCUUUCAACAACCUUUCAAGGAGGCAGAUAAACCAGUUGGGGCGAGAGUGAAGCGAGGCGAAUAUUAAAAGAUAAAGAACCAACAUUUUGCCUUUAGAGCCUCUUGUAGUAUUAAAACUUGAGUCAGCUGACGUUGUUUUCUAUUUACACUUGUAUACAAAAGUUUGGGCAACCUCUGACAAAUAAGGUAUUUUGAUGAUUUUUAAUUGAAAAGAUGUAAACAGUCUCUCUAUGAUGUGAAACAUUAAUGCAGAGUUACUGUUUAUGUCUUGCUGCUCUAUUUUCUGGAUUGGGAAGCAGAUGAAUGAAGGGAUCGUCACAAAUGAUUCUGGAAAUUCUAUUUUAAAACGUGUCUUCACUUAUCUUCAAAGCGCGAGUUCAAUAUCAAGGAUUUACGAGUUAUGUGCUUCAACAGUUGGUGGCGAUAGUGCUCUGAAUGGCGGCAAUUCACCACUAAACAGGAAGAGCGAGAAGAAGAAACCUAAUCGCGACGUCAUCACUCUGCGUUCUCUCUGAUUGGCUGAGAAAAAAUGGCGGGGGUAGAAUCUGGUGGUUCAAACACAACAACACCACGGAUCAUCUAACCGGGAGAGGUGAAGUCAGUCCGGGACAUCGGCCGCGAGGGGAGCCGCUGGAAGUCGCUUCUGGAGAUUCAUCCAAGAUGGUAAAGAUGUCGCCAGACAAGGAGACGAGGUUAAAGCGCUGGAGUUCUUCAGACCGGCGAACAACAUUCAGCCGAGUCAAAAGCUUGAAAGCAGGAUAAAGAAAAUUGAGGAAAUAAUUGCACAGAACGAAUCAGAGGAUGAAGAUGAAGAGUUUGUCUUUCUGCCAGCUCCUGGUCCUCUGGGGCCUCGUCACGGUCGACGUCGAGGGAAAACGUGAGGUCGUGAUCAGAAAUCCCAAACAUGUCCACGGCGUGGAGGCGGGACGUAGGAAGAGUCCAGUCUCGUUACUUUGAAGCCUCUGUUGCUCAGGAUGCGUUCGAUGAUGUGACGAGUGUGCGGUGGCCUUCCUGUCUGAACAGAAAGACCAUUUUUCCAGACUCAGAUAUUCACUAAGGUGUCGUCAGGAACGUUGUUGAUGCUGUGACUGUCUGUCGUCAUCUUACUGGUUUCCAGCUGCUUUCCUCCAAACCUAAACUGGCUUUGAGUCGAUACGUGAUUCCAAAGUGACGCAAAAAAACAAGUUGAAAUAAAAACCAACUUUUUCA